rnacentral:rRNA from 1 species
CCUACGGGAGGCAGCAGUGGGGAAUAUUGCACAAUGGGCGAAAGCCUGAUGCAGCGACGCCGCGUGAGGGAUGACGGCCUUCGGGUUGUAAACCUCUUUCAGCAGGGAAGAAGCGAAAGUGACGGUACCUGCAGAAGAAGCGCCGGCUAACUACGUGCCAGCAGCCGCGGUAAUACGUAGGGCGCAAGCGUUGUCCGGAAUUAUUGGGCGUAAAGAGCUCGUAGGCGGCUUGUCACGUCGGGUGUGAAAGCCCGGGGCUUAACCCCGGGUCUGCAUUCGAUACGGGCUAGCUAGAGUGUGGUAGGGGAGAUCGGAAUUCCUGGUGUAGCGGUGAAAUGCGCAGAUAUCAGGAGGAACACCGGUGGCGAAGGCGGAUCUCUGGGCCAUUACUGACGCUGAGGAGCGAAAGCGUGGGGAGCGAACAGGAUUAGAUACCCUGGUAGUCCACGCCGUAAACGGUGGGAACUAGGUGUUGGCGACAUUCCACGUCGUCGGUGCCGCAGCUACGCAUUAACGUUCCCGUCCGUCGGGUAGGUACGGCCGCGAGACGUAAACUAACAAAGAAGUAGACGGCGNGAGACGUGCCGACGGACGACGACGAGGGAGGAGG